CAAUUUAAACAACGAAGAGUUUGAUCCUGGCUCAGGAUGAACGCUAGCGACAGGCUUAACACAUGCAAGUCGAGGGGCAGCGGGGGUAGCAAUACCCGCCGGCGACCGGCGCACGGGUGAGUAACGCGUAUGCAACUUACCUAUCAGAGGGGGAUAACCCGGCGAAAGUCGGACUAAUACCGCAUGAAGCAGGGGCCCCGCAUGGGGAU
rnacentral:rRNA from 1 species